AAGCCGCCUGCGGUUUACAGGGUCCAGUCACUUAACGCCCCGAUUUUUUCGGGGUUUUUUGUUAUUUCACACAGUAAUACUGGGCUAAUUAGCCCUUUUUUU
rfam:Sodalis glossinidius str. 'morsitans' DNA, complete genome.